ACCUGAAACAGAAAGAAAAGAGGUUGGGGUUUUCACCCUUUCGAUGGUAAUUGCCUGUCCAUCGAAGGUUUAACGCUUCGGUGGUCGCGAUGGAAAUUUUCGUAUGACAAUUACGCGGAUAGUCGCGUGAACACCUCGAAGGUCCAACGAGCAUGAAGACACUGUUCCCGACGAAUAGUCCGAGAAAUCAAUUAGCGAAACAAGGGAGCGAAGCCCAGGGGAAACCGUCUAAUCGGUCAACGGACUAAUCGACUGCAUAUUCAACAGACUUUGAAGGAAUUUCGAAGGCGACCGCAGUAACCACUGGCUCAUCCGCGUGUCUAACUUUACACGAGGUACCUAUUAUUCGAACUUGACGUUAAACAGGGUCGCAACUAAAUAAUUCGUCGCAUGAUGUACGCCUGGCUCCUUCCUCCCCUCGUUUAUCCUUGCUAAACGACACUGCACCUUCCUUAAGAGUACUCCUGGCGAACAAUCGAGCCGUAAGUCACGCGAGACUUUCAGCUGUUUAUUUAUCACGCGCAUAAUACAUCAGGCAAUUUACCAUUAUCGAUUCGUUUGUUACUCGGCACAGCUUACGGCCGCCUGCCUACACUCGCGCGAUAACCAAACGCGGAUCGAGCACAUUCUUGCUCUACCAUUUCGACCAGAUCGCAUUUCGCUGCUCGAUGGAGCUUUGACGACGAGUUUUCACUGUCCGAUCGUGUGGGAAAGAGCGAAAAGAAGAUCGUUCGACACGUUUCGUUAACGAUUACCGGUAGUGCCAUUUCCCAAGGAAAUAACGAGUAACAAUUGAAAUAAUGAAACGUCUUUUCUUUCUAUGGGAGACGAAGUUCUUCGCUGUAAUAUAAUGGAGAGGGAAGAACACCUAAGCCUAAGGGUUAACAAAUGUUGAUUUAGUUGCAGGGAUAGUCGGCUUAGAAGAUGUAUUUGAUAAAUAGAAGAGGACUUACGAGCAGAUAACGUCUGGCUCUUUAGCGGAAGUAUCAAUAUAAUGUUAAGAUUAUCGGUUAUACAAUGUCUAGGUAAUUUGAAUGACCCUCUUCAACAAGAACAUACUCUAUUUUAAGCGUUCGUCUAUUAAUGACUCAUUAAUAGUGGUACUAUUUGAGAUGUAUCGAUCAGAUUGGAAAGAAUUUCAAUUCCAAACACGAUAAGAUUAGAUAUAAAAAAGAAAAUAAUCUUGGAUUUUAGGAAACAGAAUAGAACAGAAAUAAAAUGUUAUUUCUUUUUCAGAUUCGAGUGAAAAGGAAGCUAAUGAAGACAAUUUUAUCCCAUUUGCGAGAGACAAUUUUAUCCCAUUGGCAGAGGCAAGAAGAAAACGACCCCCUGUCGCUGCUGGCCAGCAAGAUAAAGAGAUGCAACGAGAACGGAACGAACUUAACCGGAUAGGCUAUUAUUUAUACAGUUGGUAAGCUGCUUAAGAGGAGGCAGGGUAUAAAAAAGCGACAAAUUUCAAGGCUUAAUAAUAAUAAUAGAGCGAUCGUUCCCUAGUGUGUAUGUCGUGAAAACGACUCCUCCUUACGAAUGCGGUGACUUUAACGAGGAUGUGUUCCUCGGCUCCUGAGAAAACGACACCGCACAGUAGACCGUCGAUGCUAAUUAAUUAGAGCCUGCUAAAUAAUUCACUUUCAUCGCGAUAGCAAGGAACCGCGGGUAAUAGAGGCUGAUAAUUGCGUGCCGCUCGAGAAACGGCGGAAAUGCAGUGAGGAAGGAAGACACCGCAGGAGUUUUCCGCUUGUAAUAUAUCAAACCUUGCCUGGUAUUAUUGCCAUUUUCAAUAAGGGCACCCUGGUAAUCUAACAGGAUCAUAUCUCGUUUUCCAUCCACCGAAUCCCAAAGUUUCCCGAGCAUCGAAUUGUCACUUCUAUAUUUUGUUUGACGUUCCCCAAAGUUCGUCCGCGUUCUGGUUUGCUAUAUUGCCAGUCAGAACUUGGCUGCACCCAGCAGAGUCCUCGAAGCGCUCAUCAAACUUCAAGUAUCCUCUUCACUGUUGCGCGAAGGAACUUGCGAUUCGUACGAGCGCUUUUCGAAUGAAAUUGAGCUUAAAAUACAGGUGAAAGUGGUCAUUUAAAUUUCAAUUUAAACUCUUCUUCAUCUACAUUUUCAACGUGAAAAUCUUUCGUUUAGAAAAACAUCUGAAUACCGAGGUCGAAUAACGAACAAGUGGGACUAAUUAACAUAUCUGUGCAACUCCUAAUUACCCGCGCCAGAAGUGGCAGGUGUUCCGCAAGACAUCGGCUACCUAAACAGCUAUGCAAAUUAAUUACGACGCUUCUUGGCCGCGUUAAAUUGUGUGUUCUUUUUUUAAAUUUUUAUCUUAUUUUCACUCAAACGUUGCCACCUGAGUUUCCUUCUUUCCGUUCAACUCCGAAUUACGAAAGCAAAACCACUGAAACUCCGAACAAUGAAAAUCUCUUCUCUGCCGGAGAAAAGAGCCAUUAACUUCCUUGCUAAUCCAACGUUCCCAUAAUCUCGAGUGUUGUAACCGAGAGUCGAAUCACCGGAUCGUUGCCGAAGAGAUUGAAAUCGCGAGCAUGUACCAUUCGAAUCGUCCGAAUCACUCGACUCGGCCUGAUUACUAGAUUAAAUGCUAUAUGUAGUUCUCAUAGAUUAGAUAGAAAUGCUGUCCGAUCCGUUAGGCAAUCUUAGAGAAGAGGAAAUAGACUCGGGAUCGAUCGAGGAUUUCCUAGAGAUAAUCUAUAACGGAAGGGUACUACGAGAGAAGUAGGAAUAUUAAAAGUAAUUUAGAAACAAAAUAGGUCCUCAGAAAAGUAGAAAUAUAAUAUGAUGCGUUUUCUAGGAAAAGAAUGAUCGAUGAGAGUGUAUAAUAAAUAAAUAAGAAAAUAACGCGUUUUCAAGCCCUCGGAUGGCGGACCACGGAGAGAGCCACAAUUCCAAUUUAUGAUCCCAUAACUCGGGUACUCGAUGCGAUUGCGAAUCAAUCGAACCAUUGGUGAAUUACUGUUUCGCCUGAACGAUCGGUGCUACGCCUGUAUCUUACGCAAUCGGAACUUGCGACAUCCCCGAGGGAUCGUUAAUUAUAAAAUCGAAAUCACCGCCUCGAGAGCCGAAUAUCUCGUGGAAGGCAUCGUAUUUCGCAAGGAACACACCGGUUAACUCGCGAACGCAAAUUAGCAGAAUAAUAAUGAUGCCCCCAGUGUUGCUCAACACUGUUUCAACAAACUGCUAGCCUCCUUCGAUAAAUGAUAUGUUGAUAACUUUUCAAACGGCACUGUAUCAAUCCUCCGAAGUCCAUUUAGACCUACACGUUUCAAGUGUCAGGAUGGAAUUUAUAUAGAAAUUCGAAGCAUAGAUUAUAUUUUGGAGCAAUGACAACAAGGCGAUAAGUAUAAUAAAUCACUGUUCACCCAGCGAUAAAUCAUUCCACAGGGACGAAUAAAAAUGUUUUACUACCAUCUGGCAGAUAAAACUUCUUUUUGUUGCACCGACCACUAUAAAUAUCCGUUUAAUUGUCCCGUUUAUAUGUGGCUAAUUGUUAAGAUAACUUUAUUGAGACAAAUGGGUCUUUAAUCGAUGUUCAAUACUGACUUAUCUCGCAAUGCUCAAUUUUUAUUUAGGAACUUUGUGUUUCUUUUUUUCUUAUCACCUGACGGUGCCUUUUGAUAUACGAGAUACAUCAAAAAAAUAAGUUUUUCUUAAUGGAUAUCGAUUUUUUCCAUUAUAUUUAAAAGUGCAUACAUGCGUCCAAGACCAUGCGUCGCCGACUCUCCGGAUAAAUAUUUGAUAUUUAUAGAGAAGCUUAGCGUCGCGUAGUUGAAGAGAAAAUAAUUUCUGGUGAUCAAUCUUCUCUAUUGAUUACAAAAUAAAAUCACGGUGCUACAGAAAUUUGUCGGACCGCGAUCCGAUGAUUCCGACGUAGCUAUAUUGAAAUUUCAAAGCAGAAAGCUGGCAUUCGAAACACGAGGGAACGAAAAUUGAAUGUAACAACGUAAUUUCCGUUUCUCUUGUUCACGCUUUUCACGCUGAUGGAUGCGAGAUGUUGAGCCACUUUCGAGACUCUCGAGGCCUCUCCGCGAGCGGAUUCCAAGCGAGUUUCGCGCGUGUUUCACGCCGGAUGUGCGAUAACUUUUCAAGCCAGCAACACGUACACGGGACACAUACGAGCGUUAUGGAUUUUACAAAAGCGUUUCAACUUCGCGGACACGUCUCAAGAUAUAUAUCCUCCUCGUCUGCGACUCUCCAUCGAUUUCGCGAACCGAUAGAACUCGAGAUUCCCCGGUCCGUUCUCUCAUCUUUCACUGUUCGAAAGAAGCAUUUCCAUGAAAUCGCGAUCCUCGAAAAAUGGACCGAACCAUUAUUUUCCUUUUCUCUCAAAUAAUUCCAGUCGUUCGAUUAUCAUUCAUCGAAUCAUUGGCGCCGGUCUAUUAACACUUCUAAAUAGCAAGGCGUUAAUUAGACGUUGCGGAAUAAUUAUUUGUCGUACCAGCUCUGGAGACAAUUAACUCGACAAUGAACGCGCGUCGAAUGUUAGUCAUUUGAUACUUGAUUGCGUAUCUCGUUAUCUAACUACUGCGUUCAAGUACACCCGAGGCGUGGCAGAUUAUUUUCAACCGAGAAAGGUGAACAUAUAUACUCGUGAAAGUUAUAAUUAUCUUGAAUGAAAUUAAUACUAGAGCUCAUCCGUCGAUGGUAUCAGUGAUUGAUAGCUAAUCGAUUUAAUCAAUCGAAAUUUCUUUUAAUCGUAACGAUUAUGCAGCCGAUCGAAUUAGCAAUUUUAAUCGAUCGAUGCCCGAUACUCUUUCCACUUCAUGAAUAAAAAUACAUUCUUGCCUGGAACAAAGCGAGAAAUGAAAUUCAUGGACGCAUUGCAAACGACGUUAGCCCCCUGUGGUUCGGGGGGUUUAGAAUACGGCCACGGUAUCCCCUGCCUGUCGUAAGAGGCGACUAAAAGGGGUCACACAAACACACACACAGAUUUAAGCAAAAAAGAUGAGCAGACUUUAAAAGUAUAGACAAGUAUGAGUAAUGAAAUUUUAAAAAAUGCGCGGGGUUUGGGGUUGGCGGGGCUGCCAACCCAUCCCUGAAGGCGCGUGGUCGAAAGCGUUCGUUGGGCAACAUGGAGAUAGAAAAAUCUCCAAAAAUGCCAGCCUUUGAGCGAAAUUCGGGGUAAGAGUAAGGGCAUUGCAAACGAGAAGGAAGCUUACUCGAAGAGCGCUUUUCGCGCGAAAGAGCCACCACUCUACUUCCGGUCCCCGGCACAGUUAUCGCCGCGCCCAGGUUCUAUCUAUGCGUCAUUUGCGCGGCAAACCGAGCCACGCGUCUAUCACUGAUGAAACAAAAUUCAUCGCAGUGUCCUUCGAGCAAUGUAAUUCACGGUAUCUUUUAAUUAACGCGUUAGUUCUUUCCUUGAUUAAAAAUUACGCCUAUAUUCGCGUUGACUAUUAAUCACGCGAUAGUGGGAUUUAUUGGCUGAAAGGAAACGGAUAACACCUCCUCAAGGUGUAACGAGAAACUAGGCUACCCUUUUAGCGUAGGCUCUUUGUUAAAAGGACAGACGACUUUAUUGCUUUGUAAUCUCACGGUUGCGGGAACGGUGCUUUGGAAACGAGCCUUUUGCUUUAUGCCUGAUCGAUAAUGACGUUGGUUACACGUUGAUGAAAAUGAAUAUAAGAGUACGAUUAAGUAUUCUAAUUACACUGGACGUCUUUGAAGUUUCUCUUAACCCGUUAAGGGGCAGUGAUACGUAUUCGUACCACCUUUUUUUCAGAAUUUUUCGCAUGCAAGUUUUGUCGAAAAAAAUUUUUAAUUUUUCAUAAAUUGAAUUUUGCAAUUCUGACGUCAGAAUCGUAAUCAACAACUCUAAAAACUUUCGGAAGAGAAAUGCGCCCUUCAAAGGGUUAAGCACGAUGGUGUAUUUUGCAGGUAAAAAUAAAAGAAUAAAGGUCGGUUUACAAACGUUGCGUUAUAAAGUUAUACGGAUGAUUUCACGUCCUACGAUGUCGUAUACGCUUUUCUACAAUUUCUCAUCAGAUUUUUCGUAAUGGUUGUUGCAAUUAUGCCGGCGUUGCUCGACAAUGUACCAGCCGUACAAUGAGGAUCGCCAGUAUCGUACGAAUACCGUUAUUACGCACCACUUUAUACGGGUCACAAAACCGGCAUAAAGUUUUCCGGGUAAUGGAGAAUGAAUUAACAAUGAAACGUGUAUGUACAAGGAUCCCGUGAAACGAUCGAUACAUAUUUCUUUUAAAACGCUGCGUUGAUUUUUUAUAUUUUGUAAUGACGUCGGGAGGCAGAGAGAGUGUGCCCUAACCUCCAGGACUCCCGCGUAAGUUGUCCCUGCGGGCAGAUGCUCGCUUACCAACUAACAAAAAUUAUUUUGGCGUUACCGACAUGAAGGUAGUAGUUAUUGGAAGAUUUGAGUGAGGAGCGGGAAAAUUUUCAAAAAUCCCGCUAAGAAAUUGCGUCGAUUUGGCGCGAUUCUAACAAUCAGACUUCAAUCCUCAGACGGCGGACCAUGGAGAGAGCCCUUAGCUCCGUCUUUCAAGUGUACACUUCGGUACUAUAGAUUACUUAUCGAUUGUAUUCCAAGAAUUAUUUUAUCAAUUCCAUAGAUUAUCUUGUUUUUUAAACAUGAUAAAUUUGAUCAAACAGCCCUGAAAGCUAUCCGUUGGAAAAAGGAUUAAAUUCUGAAGUUUAUACGAAGCAUAGAAUAACUUUCUGAGAACAUUGCGCGCGGUUUAUUAAAAGCGACCACUAUGGAGGUCGCGAAUGUCGCGAACGAUUGUCGUUAAAGUGCAAGGAGCAAUUUUUAAAGGUUUCUUGUACGGGCGCCGAUAAGCUGGCGGCGAGCAAACCGCGGCUUCAUAAAGCUCAUCGUAUGUAUAUGUAUAAUAGAUGUGUGCAGAGGCGACGAAACACAGAGGGAGAAAAAAAGACCAUCGCUCGUAAUCGAGGUUAGUUAUUGUGUACUAGAUAAUUGAAAGUGCGCUGGCGUAAUUUGCGAUAUGGUAUCGACGAAACAAACAGAUUUCUAGAAUUUCAACUCGAAUAGCUCGAUUUAGACAAUAUCGAGUUCAUUAGCGUCUAAUCGACUUUCGACUUACAGUCGACGUUCAAGUAGAAAUUGCUUAUUUUUGCAAAAAGGCCAUAUUAUGACAAUUAUAUUACUUAGUCCACUUUCAACGAGGUAACAAUGGCCGAGGAAUAAAUAAUUUAAUGGAUUCUAAAACAGCCUCGGGUCUCGGAAACUUUAAUCCGAUCCUAAUAGUGCAUAAAAUAUAAGUCUAUUCGACGUUUCGCCGCUUUGCGAAUAAUUAACACGAAACGAAGAAAAGAACAAACGAGUGGAUGGAGGAGGCUGAUAUACUCAUUCGAACAACGAAACAUUCCCGGCAAUUCGUUUCAAAGUGCUCAACUUGGUCGCACGUUACAACAAGCUUGCCUUUGAAACGGUUAAUUAGCGUCGUUUAAUUGCUACAUUCUAGGCUGCGAUGAAAAAAAGAAAAGAAAAUGUUUUACAGUCAAUUAUGCAGGCGGACUGAGUCAACCAGGACGUUCCACUUUCUAUAUACCUGCAUGACAACGAGAUAGUAAUCUUAGUACGACUCGUCAGAAAUAAUCUUAUCUGUUAAUCAAAUAUAUCCAAUAGUAUUUAAUUACAUUUUGCAUCACCGUCAAGGACGUUCGAUAGAAAUUUAGUUCCAGCCAUUAUUUUGAAACAUAACCUCACUUUAUCAAUUAUAGCUGGCCAGCCGGUAGCGAAAAGAUUAAUAUCAUUCUUUUAUGAUUAAAUGAAAUUUUCUAUGUUAUAACUCUGACCACGGCAUAAAUUUAAUCGGUGAAUGUUAAAAAUUUAAUUGGAAAUAAUAGUUGAAACAAAUACGGGUAUUUCCAUUACAAAAUCAUGAUGUACGUUGGUCCCGUUUAAUAUUCGAAAUGCAUGUACCGCGACACGGGCUGCGUAUCAUGUGCUACCAUUUCCCUUGAAUUUCUGAACUUUACAAUUUCCCGGCACGAAAUUUCAUCGAAACGCGAUUAAAUUUAUACACGUGUUUCUUCUCGUCGAUAUUAUGAAACGCUAUAUGUAUACCGGGUCAAUGGUGGAUCAAAGCCACGAAAAAAGCUUGGAGAAUGGUAAACGAGCAGAGCUUAAAAUAAUAUCAUCGAACCGAUGGAACUCUAUAAAUGUUAUCUUGGAAUAACAUAAUCGAUCGGUGAUUUUCACGCCUCUCCCGCAAUCACGUUUUACAAGUCUAUUAUGCCGUAGUACCGCAAUGGAAUCGUUUUGUCGCAACUGCAUAAGGAGAUCCGCGAUAGGAACUGGGUACACGUGUCCUUGGAGGUCGAGUAACGUGUCAUCUUCAACUGGUCAAUUCUCUCAUCAACCAAGGAGAACUUUACCAAGGGGAACCUUUCGCUCGUUUUAUUAAUCGCCGUCGAAGUAUGCUGCAUUUACCUAUUUAACGUUCUUUGAGGGGAAAGAACCGGCUUCUCUUCAUGAAUAAUUUAUUCUCUCUUAAUGAAGAUUGCUCGCGACGAUUUAUACCGGCUAACAGAUCGAGCAGUUUCAUUUUCCCACUUUUUAUUUUCCCGUGAAAUCAAAUCUAUCAUCGUCAAAAUUCAUCGUGACGUUCAACUUGGUCCCGGUUACCAAAGACCUUGGGGGACUGCGGUGUAAAAGACGAGCAGGGGGCGGACCAACAAAAACGAGAUGGAAUCCGCGCGAGGCGGCGGUACGGUUAUAUGGUGAAUUGGAUAUGCGUAACACAGACACAUGCGUACAGGGGCGCACGUUCGCAUGAACGCGUGAGAAUGAUUUAUCGUUGCAAACAGCGGGUAACAGUCUGGCCUCACGGUAAAAGACGUGGACGCGUCAGAGAACAAAUAUCGGGUAUACUGACUAUCCACGUAGCACCGUUAACUUACACACCACAUGGUCGGCUAUCGUCGCGUGACACGAGCCUAAAAAGACAUUACCCAGCUUGAUCCUGUCUGGUCGAGAGCACAGUGUUUUCGCUUGAGUCUUUGAUUAGGUCGUAUUUGUUCGUUUUGUGGCACAAGGAGAGAUUUACGAUCGUCCGACGUGUCCAAAUUCUAUACACCACAAUAAAGUCUGUUAAGUAUUUGACGCACAGCCGAUAGCCGGCGUGGAAUUCGUCGAGGUAUGUAACAGUUUAACGCGCACCCGGUGCGUCACAGCGAUCACGGACUCGCCGAGAAACGAUUCAUGGUCGUUGUGCAGAGAAAUUUGACGCGAUUAAAAUCGUCCACAAUGCUCGAUUCGUCGAACAGGACGAAAGGAAAGCAGGACACCCAGCAGAGUGAACAUACACACACAUACACGAUAGAUCAAACUGACGGGAGACGCUAGCCACGAGCAAAACGGAUCGGUCAAACUUCGACGAAUGCACUUUGUUCGAUGUGGCAUUUGCUGUCACACGCGGACCUCUCCCGUGAUCAAACGAGAACACCUCCAGGUACAUAUCCCGUACGUCGCACAUACGUGUACAUCCGACACUGCAGAGCCACUGAACAGCGCCGAGGUUAGGGUAUCGAAGUGGGGACACCUGUUCGACAUCCGUAGUAGCACCCAGACCCUUC